ACGGGUGAAUAACGCGUGGAUAAUCUGCCCUUCAGUGGGGAAUAACUAUCCGAAAGGAUAGCUAAUACCGCAUGAGACCACAGGAUCUGCGGAUCUAGAGGUUAAAGAUUUAUCGCUGAAGGAUGAGUCAGCGUGGGAUUAGCUAGUUGGUGAGGUAACGGCUCACCAAGGCUACGAUCCCUAGCUGGUCUGAGAGGAUGACCAGCCACACUGGAACUGAGACACGGUCCAGACUCCUACGGGAGGCAGCAGUAGGGAAUAUUGCGCAAUGGGCGAAAGCCUGACGCAGCGACGCCGCGUGAGUGAUGAAGGCCUUAGGGUCGUAAAGCUCUGUUGAAUGGGAAGAAACAAAUGACGGUACCAUUCGAGGAAGGACCGGCUAACUUCGUGCCAGCAGCCGCGGUAAGACGAGGGGUCCUAGCGUUGUUCGGAAUCAUUGGGCGUAAAGCGUGUGUAGGUGGCCAUGUAAGUCAGGUGUGAAAGCCCGGGGCUCAACCCGGGAAGUGCAUCUGAUACUGCGUGGCUUGAGUACCAAAGAGGGUAGUGGAAUUCCAGGUGUAGUGGUGAAAUACGUAGA
rnacentral:rRNA from 1 species